AAACUUUGCAAUACACGAAAGUGUGACAGGGCUAUCCCGAGUGCCAUCCGCUGAGGAAGGCUUUUACCCAGUCUAGAAAGCUGGGGGAAUAAGGAGAGGGCAAGUCUGGUGUCAGCCGCCGCGGUAAUACCAGCUCUCCGAGUGGUGUGGAUGUUUAUUGGGCCUAAAGCAUCCGUAGCUGGCUAAGUUAGUCCCUUGUUAAAUCCACCGAAUUAAUCGUUGGAUUGCGGGGGAUACUGCUUAGCUAGGGGACGAGAGAGGCAGACGGUAUUUCCGGGGUAGGGGUGAAAUCCUAUAAUCCCGGGAAGACCACCAGUGGCGAAGGCUGUCUGCUAGAACGCGCCCGACGGUGAGGGAUGAAAGCUGGGGGAGCGAACCGGAUUAGAUACCCGGGUAGUCCCAGCUGUAAACGAUGCAAACUAGGUGUUUGAACGGCCACGUGCCGUUCUAGUGCCGCAGGGAAGCUGUUAAGUUUGCCGCCUGGGGAGUACGAUCGCAAGAUUGAAACUUAAAGGAAUUGGCGGGGGAGCACCACAAGGGGUGAAGCUUGCGGUUU
rnacentral:rRNA from 1 species